CUCGUACAGGCCUACCGGCCUCUUGCAGACUCCUGCGUUCUUAUGUUCUUAUAUGAGGUGUUUUAACUAUCAUCUAUAUAUAUUUUCUACCGCAAUCUGGAAGUGUUGUUAUAUUUCUGCCAUACAAAACUGACACUGAAUUUUGGACCAUCUAUAUAGUUCCACCGCCAUCUUAGGGUUAAUUAUUACACAUAAUUUUUUCAUCUUCCUGAUAUCCGUACCUAUAGGAAUAGUUGAUGAGUGCAUAUGGGCAAAGAUAGCCUAGCAAUACAUGACAGAAGCUAUUUAUUUCAACGCUAUUUCAUUAUUACACAUCAGUUUUUCAUAAUUUUUUCAUGUUUUCGCUGCUAUGCAUACCUAUAGGAAUGGUCGAUGAGUGCAUAUGGGCAAAGAUAGCCUAGCAAUACAUGGCAGUUGGUAGCUAUUUGUUUCAACGCUAUUUCAUUAUUACACGUCAGUUUUUCAUAAUUUUUUUCAUGUUUUCCCUGCUAUGCGUACCUAUAGGAAUGGUCGAUGAGUGCAUAUGGGCAAAGACAGCCUAGCAAUACAUGGCAGUUGCUAUCUAUUUCAACACUAUUUCAUUAUUACACGUCAGUUUUUCUUUUCUCUUUUCAGUCCUCUUCCUGCUAUGCGUACUGAUAGGAGA